rnacentral:rRNA from 1 species
UGGGGAAUAUUGGACAAUGGGCGAAAGCCUGAUCCAGCCAUGCCGCGUGUGUGAAGAAGGUCUUCGGAUUGUAAAGCACUUUAAGUUGGGAGGAAGGGCAUUAACAUAAUACGUUAGUGUUUUGACGUUACCGACAGAAUAAGCACCGGCUAACUCUGUGCCAGCAGCCGCGGUAAUACAGAGGGUGCAAGCGUUAAUCGGAAUUACUGGGCGUAAAGCGCGCGUAGGUGGUUUGUUAAGUUGGAUGUGAAAUCCCCGGGCUCAACCUGGGAACUGCAUUCAAAACUGACUGACUAGAGUAUGGUAGAGGGUGGUGGAAUUUCCUGUGUAGCGGUGAAAUGCGUAGAUAUAGGAAGGAACACCAGUGGCGAAGGCGACCACCUGGACUAAUACUGACACUGAGGUGCGAAAGCGUGGGGAGCAAACA